rnacentral:tRNA from 1 species
GAGGGUAUGGCUCAGUGGUAGAGCACAUGCUUAGCAUGCUUGAGGUCCCAGGUUCAAUCCCCAGUACCUCCA